CCUACGGGCGGCAGCAGUAGGGAAUCUUCCACAAUGGGCGAAAGCCUGAUGGAGCAACGCCGCGUGGGUGAAGAAGGUCUUCGGAUCGUAAAACCCUGUUGUUAGAGAAGAAAGUGCGUGAGAGUAACUGUUCACGUUUCGACGGUAUCUAACCAGAAAGCCACGGCUAACUACGUGCCAGCAGCCGCGGUAAUACGUAGGUGGCAAGCGUUAUCCGGAUUUAUUGGGCGUAAAGGGAACGCAGGCGGUCUUUUAAGUCUGAUGUGAAAGCCUUCGGCUUAACCGGAGUAGUGCAUUGGAAACUGGGGGACGUGAGUGCAGAAGAGGAGAGGGGAACUCCAGGUGUAGCGGUGAAAUGCGUAGAUAUAUGGAAGAACACCAGUGGCGAAAGCGGCUCUCUGGUCUGUAACUGACGCUGAGGUUCGAAAGCGUGGGUAGCAAACAGGAUUAGAUACCCCGGUAGUC
rnacentral:rRNA from 1 species